GACGAACGCUGGCGGCGUGCUUAACACAUGCAAGUCACGGGGGCCCCGCAAGGGGUAACCGGCGAACGGGUGCGUAACACGUGAACAACCUGCCCUCGUGUGGGGGAUAGCCGGGCUAACGCCCGGGUAAUACCGCAUACGUCCGUUCCGGGGAGUCCUGGGACGGGGAAAGCUCCGGCGCACGGGGAGGGGUUCGCGGCCUAUCAGCUAGUUGGUGCGGGUAACGGCCCACCAAGGCGACGACGGGUAGCUGGUCUGAGAGGAUGGCCAGCCACAUUGGGACUGAGAGACGGCCCAGACGCCUACGGGAGGCAGCAGUGGGGAAUCUUGCGCAAUGGUCGAAAGACUGACGCAGCGACGCCGCGUGUGGGAGGACGCCUUUCGGGGUGUAAACCACUGUUGCCCGGGACGAACUCGCUCUUUCGAGGGGGUUGACGGUACCGGGUGAGGAAGCACCGGCUAACUUCGUGCCAGCAGCCGCAGUAAAAC
rnacentral:rRNA from 1 species